rnacentral:rRNA from 1 species
UGCCAGCAGCCGCGGUAAUACGGAGGGUGUGAGCGUUAAUCGGAAUUACUGGGCGUAAAGCGCGCGUAGGCUGUUUUACAAGUCAGAUGUGAAAUCCCCGAGCUCAACUUGGGAACUGCGUUUGAAACUGUAAGACUAGAGUGUGUCUGAGGGGGGUAGAAUUCCACGUGUAGCAGUGAAAUGCGUAGAUAUGUGGAGGAAUACCAAUGGCGAAGGCAGCCCCUGGGAUAACACUGACGCUCAUGAACGAGAGCGUGGGGAGCAAACAGGAUUAGAUA